rnacentral:misc_RNA from 1 species
AUAUCAUCUGGGGUUGAAAUUGUCAUGUCCUGCUUGCAUCUGAGUUGCGUAUGCUGAGCUUUCAGCCAGAAACUUAACAAACUCUUCCUUCUUCCUCUCAAAGCUGUACUUUGCAGCAUUCAGCAGUGAUUGUUCUCGCUUAACAUCCUCCAUCAAUUUGUCCUUUUUCCAUUUCAUCCCCGAGAGCUGCUUCUCAGUUUCACUGUAGUUGUCAGGUAAAUUCGCAGCCAGAGAAGGUUUUGGGAAUCUUACAUCCACAUCAUUCCGAUUGCCUAGGGAAAAUAAACCAGUAGCCUUAAUCAUCCCUCCAUCCAAUGAAAUGGCUCCAUCAGUUAUACAAGGAAGAGCAAGCAACAUGUCUUCCCUACUUUUAUAAACUUGCAGACGAGAGAACAGGUUAUAGAAUAGAGUCUCCCGGAGGCCAUAUCCACUGGAUGUGACAUAAAACAAGCUUGUAGAAUCCACAUGGAUCAUAUUUACAGCAAAGCCAAUAAAUCCAGGUGGGCACUCCCCAUUGGGCAAUUUUGGAUUUAGAAGAUCAAGCCUCCUUUGUGUGUCAUCAGCCAUAAAUUCGCCGCAAAAAGGUCUUAAAUUUUCAAGACAAAUGACAAGAAAUCGACCACUCAGAGCCCUCCCAAUAGAAGCACCAAGGCCAUGAAGACCAGAGUCAUUAUUUAUGUGGCCUUCUUUGUCAUAUGUUUCAAGAGCUGUAACACCUUCAUAAGUCUUACAGACAAUUGCCAACAUAGUCUCUACUCCUAAGUACUCUGAAAGAAGCCUGCUAAGGUUAUCAUCAUUGACUUUGCCAAGCGUAGCAACAAUGCCAAGCACAUCCUUGGUCAAUGUAAGAUGAGAAGCACAAGUGCCAUAGUGCAAUCUCAGCUGACACAGAAUGCCUGCAGCAGACUUUUCAUGCUGUAGAAUCUGUUCUGUCGUUUCCUCCUCACUCUGAUUGGACGAGCGGCGAUCAUUUUCAAUGUUAGGCUGGGUUGCAGAAUGAUACUUACCAAGAAUAACUUGCAAGUCCAGAAUGGAAUCUUCUAAUUUAUUUUUCUCAUUUUUCAGAAACUUUACAUUAUUCUCAUGCUGCUUGAUUUUGAGUCCCAACACGUGUAGAUCAUCUUGAAGCUUCUUAGAAGCGUAGAUUAUGGAUUGCGACUGUAAAAAUUCGCCAUUUUGCACAUCAUCCCUUGGAAUAAUACUAGUUUCCUUCUGAUCAACUUGCAUCAGAGCUGGUAAGUCAAAAAUAGACGUGCAUGUCAAAUUAGUGGACUGGAUAGUAGAGAUGCUGUGUUUGAUAUUUUCUAUUUCCUAAUUUCUUCGAAAAUGGGAAUGUAUUGCUGCCAUCUUGUUAAUUCCAUAGAUUUUUUCGUUGAGAAGAAGACAACAAAGGAAUUGUUGUCUAGGGUUAGGAUAACUUUUUCUGUUGAAAAACUGAGAAGUAGGAGAACACGGAAAAGGACAGGGAGUAUGGGUUAGGGUUAGAUUGGGCGUUGGGGAAAGAGGCGACAGAGAGGAGUGAGAAAAAGGAAAACAAAGCGAUUGAAGAUUGUGAUG